UUCCCGUACUUGGUGUUACUGCGAAGGGGGGACGGAGAAGGCUAUGUUGGCCGGGCGACGGUUGUCCCGGUUUAAGCGUGUAGGCUGGUUUUCCAGGCAAAUCCGGAAAAUCAAGGCUGAGGCGUGACGACGAGGCACUACGGUGCUGAAGCAACAAAUGCCCUGCUUCCAGGAAAAGCCUCUAAGCAUCAGGUAACACGAAAUCGUACCCCAAACCGACACAGGUGGUCAGGUAGAGAAUACCAAGGCGCUUGAGAGAACUCGGGUGAAGGAACUAGGCAAAAUGGUGCCGUAACUUCGGGAGAAGGCACGCUGACACGUAGGUGA
rnacentral:rRNA from 1 species